rnacentral:rRNA from 1 species
UACGGAGGGAGCUAGCGUUGUUCGGAAUUACUGGGCGUAAAGCGCACGUAGGCGGCGACUCAAGUCAGAGGUGAAAGCCCGGGGCUCAACCCCGGAACUGCCUUUGAAACUAGGUUGCUAGAAUCUUGGAGAGGCGAGUGGAAUUCCGAGUGUAGAGGUGAAAUUCGUAGAUAUUCGGAAGAACACCAGUGGCGAAGGCGACUCGCUGGACAAGUAUUGACGCUGAGGUGCGAAAGCGUGGGGAGCAAACAGG